rnacentral:misc_RNA from 1 species
GUGUUGUAAAGUGCUUAACUUUGCUGUAAAUAAUUUCUUCUCCUGGAAUGCUCAGUAAAGGGAUGGUACUGUUUAAAGAAAUGGGUAUUACAACUGCACGUCAGUUUCUGUGCUCGGAAAAUCACACCAGGGUCAAGCUGAAAGACCAUUAGGUAUAGGUAUAGCCAUAACCAAAUACAAGGAAUAGACCAAGCAAAAGGCUUAUAGAUUGAGUACAAAUAGAGAUCAUAACAGUAACUCAUUCACUUACAUAAAAUUCAUUGACAUAUAUAAUCAAAAAAUGGU